AUUGAACGCUGGCGGCAGGCCUAACACAUGCAAGUCGAGCGGCAGCGGAAAGUAGCUUGCUACUUUGCCGGCGAGCGGCGGACGGGUGAGUAAUGUCUGGGGAUCUGCCUGAUGAGGGGGAUAACUACUGGAAACGGUAGCUAAUACCGCAUAACGUUGCAAGACCAAAGUGGGGGACCUUCGGGCCUCACGCCAUCGAAUGAACCCAGAUGGGAUUAGCUAGUAGGUGGGGUAAUGGCUCACCUAGGCGACGAUCCCUAGCUGGUCUGAGAGGAUGACCAGCCACACUGGGACUGAGACACGGCCCAGACUCCUACGGGAGGCAGCAGUGGGGAAUAUUGCACAAUGGGCGCAAGCCUGAUGCAGCCAUGCCGCGUGUGUGAAGAAGGCCUUCGGGUUGUAAAGCACUUUCAGCGAGGAGGAAGGGUGGUGUGUUAAUAGCACACGACAUCGACGUUACUCGCAGAAGAAGCACCGGCUAACUCCGUGCCAGCCGCCGCAGUAA
rnacentral:rRNA from 1 species